UCUCUCUCUCUCUCUCUCUAGAUAUAGUAUUAGUACUAUCCUCUUCCUUUCUCCUCACUAUACCAAGAAACAAACUCCCUCUCCUGUUUCAGUGAAAAGGUUUGAGAGAGAAUGGAGAAGGCGAACUCGGAGCUAUCGAUGGAGAACUACUGCAUCAUGCAAGAGAAUGAGAGGCUGAGGAAGAAGGCAGAGCUUCUCAACCAAGAGAAUCAAACGCUGCUUUACCAGCUCAAGCAAAGCCUAUCCACUAAGGCCGCCGCCGCCGCCGGAUCUAGCUCCGCCGCCGCCAAGCCUAGCAAGAAAUAGGUGUGGUUGUUUUUAUGAGUUUAGUUACUCCUACUUAGGAAAAAUAGUUCAUUUCCUAUGUAGCUAGAAGGUUUUCAUUAUAUUUUUAUUUCCUUAUACUUUUGGGAUUGUGAUGUGGGAAGUCAUUAAUUAGCAAUGUGUUAUUUGUUGGUCGCAAAAUUGUCAAAUAAAUCAGGAAAGGUUGUCGAA